rnacentral:rRNA from 1 species
GACGAACGCUGGCGGCGUGCUUAACACAUGCAAGUCGAGCGGUAAGGCCCUUUCGGGGGUACACGAGCGGCGAACGGGUGAGUAACACGUGGGUGACCUGCCCUUAGCUCUGGGAUAAGCCUGGGAAACUGGGUCUAAUACCGGAUAUGACCUCCAUAACGCAUGUUGGUGGGGUAGGAAAGUCCUUGUGCGGCGUAGGGAGUCGGGCCCGGCGGCCUAUCAGUCUUUGGUUGGGUGGGGUGAUCGGCCAACCGAAGGCGACGGACGGGUAGCCGGCCUGAGA